rnacentral:lncRNA from 1 species
ACUGGAUUAUGGAAAUGAUAGUUGGAUUAGUCCACUGAUUGGUUUAGCAUGAUUUUGGGUGUGGAUAAUGGGAAGACCCACCCUAGGUGUGGGUGGCACCAACCAAUAGGCUUGUAGCCUGGGUAAAAUAAAAAGGGAAAGGGAGACUCACUGCUGGCUGCUUUCUACCUGCCGUGCUGUGGACCAUUUCUCCUCUGCCAUGUCCUUCUGCCAAGUUGCCCUGCCUUGCAACCAGUCUUGGACUAAACCUGCUACAAACUGGAUUGAACUCAGGACCUUGCACUUGCAAGGCAGGCACGGUACCACUGAGCUAAAUCCCCAGGCCUUCUGAAACUCUCUUAAAAGAUAGUUGACCUCUAUGCAUUCUACACUGGCCUUCGCCCUUUUUCUCCUUCAAUGUGUUGUCACGCAGAGCUCAAGUACUUUUCCCGCACUAUGCAGUUACACCUACAGAUGUUGUGCUUGCAAAAUGUAAAGAACCAAGGUCCCUCCUGAUCACUAUUCAUCAGCCACCAUAUCAGCCCUCUACUACCUGUAUCUGGAUUUCUUUUAUGUCAAAGAGAAAUAAAUCUCUGUCUUGUUUAAGUGCUGCUAAUUUGGGUUUUUCUGUGGAUGCAGAUGAACCCUAACAAGCAUCAAAGAUCACUUGGCCCCACUCAUUCAGCCAGUUUAUUCAAAUGCCAGAAUAUUUGUUUUUUGUUUUUUCGGUACUGGGGAUCGUACUUGGGACCUUGCACCUGUGACGCAGGCGGCGGAACCACUGAGCUAAACCCUCGGCUUUUUCCCUUUAUUUCUACCACAGCCCUCAGGGUGAAGCCCCAUCUUGCUCACCUCUUCUACUUUGGCAGCCUUCUAACCAGUACUCUGUUUUAAUUUUUUGUUGCCAUCUAACCAUUCUCCACACAGCAGUCAAAUAUGUUUUCAAAACAAAAAUUUAAUUUUGAUGUUUCUUUUCUUAAUAAUCCUUCAGUGGUCUUUUGUGCACUCCCAAAUAAAAGCGCUUAUGUCCCUUAUGUGGUCUACAAGGCCCAGUGUGAUGGAAUCUCUCCACCUCUUACAGCUGCUAAGACCACUCCCUGGGCUCCAUCACACAAGCCUUGCUAGAGUCUGGGUGUUGAGUGUGUGCUGAAGGCCCAUGUGUAAAGAUGUGUUCUCCAAGUGGACUGCUUCAAGUGACAAGGCCCAGUGGGAUGUCUGUAACUGGGGUUUGCCUUUGGAGGAGUUUGUGAGACCUAUUUCCCUUCCCUUUGCUCCCUUCUGGAUCCUGGCCAAGAGGGGAGGGUUCCGGUCUACUGUACCCCGACACAUUGUGCUGCCUUGACACAGAUCCACAGCAAGGGGGCCGAUGGCUCAUGGACAGAACCUCCACAAGGCCCGGAGCCAGAUAUCUCAGCCAUUUCAUUGCAGGGAUGCACCUUGGAGCCUUGGUGUGCAUGAUGCCCACAAUUUCCUACCCACCCCUUGGCCAGGAUGGCUCCUUCCACUGCCCGGCCACUGCCCCGCCACUGCCCCAGAAGCUUCCUGAACUGUUAUCUCGGACUAUGUUUUGCUCUUCCAUAGCCUCCCUUUUCCUUCACAACAUUUAUCAUCAUUUGUAGAUGUAUAUUUAUUUGUAUGAUUACUUUAUUAAUAGUAAUAUAUUCUAACACUGUACAAGCUUCAUGAAUGUAGAGACUAUAUCUAUUUUGCUCAAAUAUAUAUAUAUAUAUAUAUAUAUAUAUAUAUUUUCUUUU